GUGCUCGCUUUGGCAGCACAUAUACUAAAAUUGGAAUGAUACAGAGAUUACCGUGGCCCCUGCACCAGGAUGACACACAAAUUUGUGAAGCGUUCCAUAUUUUU